UUAAGCGACUAAGCGUACACGGUGGAUGCCCUGGCAGUCAGAGGCGAUGAAGGACGUGCUAAUCUGCGAAAAGCGUCGGUAAGGUGAUAUGAACCGUUAUAACCGGCGAUGUCCGAAUGGGGAAACCCAGUGCAAUUCGUUGCACUAUCGUUAACUGAAUACAUAGGUUAACGAGGCGAACCGGGGGAACUGAAACAUCUAAGUACCCCGAGGAAAAGAAAUCAACCGAGAUUCCCCCAGUAGCGGCGAGCGAACGGGGAGCAGCCCAGAGUCUGAAUCAGCUUGUGUGUUAGUGGAACGGUCUGGAAAGUCCGACGGUACAGGGUGAUAGUCCCGUACACCAAAAUGCACAGGUUGUGAACUCGAAGAGUAGGGCGGGACACGUGGUAUCCUGUCUGAAUAUGGGGGGACCAUCCUCCAAGGCUAAAUACUCCUGACUGACCGAUAGUGAACCAGUACCGUGAGGGAAAGGCGAAAAGAACCCCGGCGAGGGGAGUGAAAAAGAACCUGAAACCGUGUACGUACAAGCAGUGGGAGCACCUUCGGGUGUGACUGCGUACCUUUUGUAUAAUGGGUCAGCGACUUAUAUUCUGUAGCAAGGUUAACCGUAUAGGGGAGCCGCAGGGAAACCGAGUCUUAACUGGGCGUUAAGUUGCAGGGUAUAGACCCGAAACCCGGUGAUCUAGCCAUGGGCAGGUUGAAGGUUGGGUAACACUAACUGGAGGACCGAACCGACUAAUGUUGAAAAAUUAGCGGAUGACUUGUGGCUGGGGGUGAAAGGCCAAUCAAACCGGGAGAUAGCUGGUUCUCCCCGAAAGCUAUUUAGGUAGCGCCUCGUGAACUCAUCUUCGGGGGUAGAGCACUGUUUCGGCUAGGGGGUCAUCCCGACUUACCAACCCGAUGCAAACUACGAAUACCGAAGAAUGUUAUCACGGGAGACACACGGCGGGUGCUAACGUCCGUCGUGAAGAGGGAAACAACCCAGACCGCCAGCUAAGGUCCCAAAGUCAUGGUUAAGUGGGAAACGAUGUGGGAAGGCACAGACAGCCAGGAUGUUGGCUUAGAAGCAGCCAUCAUUUAAAGAAAGCGUAAUAGCUCACUGGUCGAGUCGGCCUGCGCGGAAGAUGUAACGGGGCUAAACCAUGCACCGAAGCUGCGGCAGCGACACUAUGUGUUGUUGGGUAGGGGAGCGUUCUGUAAGCCUGCGAAGGUGUGCUGUGAGGCAUGCUGGAGGUAUCAGAAGUGCGAAUGCUGACAUAAGUAACGAUAAAGCGGGUGAAAAGCCCGCUCGCCGGAAGACCAAGGGUUCCUGUCCAACGUUAAUCGGGGCAGGGUGAGUCGACCCCUAAGGCGAGGCCGAAAGGCGUAGUCGAUGGGAAACAGGUUAAUAUUCCUGUACUUGGUGUUACUGCGAAGGGGGGACGGAGAAGGCUAUGUUAGCCGGGCGACGGUUGUCCCGGUUUAAGCAUGUAGGCUGGUUGUCCAGGCAAAUCCGGAUAAUCAAGGCUGAGGUGUGAUGACGAGGCACUACGGUGCUGAAGUAACAAAUGCCCUGCUUCCAGGAAAAGCCUCUAAGCAUCAGGUAACAUCAAAUCGUACCCCAAACCGACACAGGUGGUCAGGUAGAGAAUACCAAGGCGCUUGAGAGAACUCGGGUGAAGGAACUAGGCAAAAUGGUGCCGUAACUUCGGGAGAAGGCACGCUGGUGUGUAGGUGAAGUCCCUGCGGAUGGAGCUGAGACCAGUCGAAGAUACCAGCUGGCUGCAACUGUUUAUUAAAAACACAGCACUGUGCAAACACGAAAGUGGACGUAUACGGUGUGACGCCUGCCCGGUGCCGGAAGGUUAAUUGAUGGGGUUAUCCGUAAGGAGAAGCUCUUGAUCGAAGCCCCGGUAAACGGCGGCCGUAACUAUAACGGUCCUAAGGUAGCGAAAUUCCUUGUCGGGUAAGUUCCGACCUGCACGAAUGGCGUAAUGAUGGCCAGGCUGUCUCCACCCGAGACUCAGUGAAAUUGAACUCGCUGUGAAGAUGCAGUGUACCCGCGGCAAGACGGAAAGACCCCGUGAACCUUUACUAUAGCUUGACACUGAACAUUGAGCCUUGAUGUGUAGGAUAGGUGGGAGGCUUUGAAGCGUGGACGCCAGUCUGCGUGGAGCCAACCUUGAAAUACCACCCUUUAAUGUUUGAUGUUCUAACGUUGGCCCCUGACCGGGGUUGCGGACAGUGUCUGGUGGGUAGUUUGACUGGGGCGGUCUCCUCCCAAAGCGUAACGGAGGAGCACGAAGGUUAGCUAAUCCUGGUCGGACAUCAGGAGGUUAGUGCAAUGGCAUAAGCUAGCUUGACUGCGAGCGUGACGGCGCGAGCAGGUGCGAAAGCAGGUCAUAGUGAUCCGGUGGUUCUGAAUGGAAGGGCCAUCGCUCAACGGAUAAAAGGUACUCCGGGGAUAACAGGCUGAUACCGCCCAAGAGUUCAUAUCGACGGCGGUGUUUGGCACCUCGAUGUCGGCUCAUCACAUCCUGGGGCUGAAGUAGGUCCCAAGGGUAUGGCUGUUCGCCAUUUAAAGUGGUACGCGAGCUGGGUUUAGAACGUCGUGAGACAGUUCGGUCCCUAUCUGCCGUGGGCGCUGGAGAAUUGAGGGGGGCUGCUCCUAGUACGAGAGGACCGGAGUGGACGCAUCACUGGUGUUCGGGUUGUCAUGCCAAUGGCACUGCCCGGUAGCUAAAUGCGGAAGAGAUAAGUGCUGAAAGCAUCUAAGCACGAAACUUGCCCCGAGAUGAGUUCUCCCUGAGACUAUAAGUCUCCUGAAGGAACGUUAAAGACGAUGACGUUGAUAGGCCGGGUGUGUAAGCGCAGCGAUGCGUUGAGCUAACCGGUACUAAUGAACCGUGAGGCUUAACCUU
rnacentral:rRNA from 1 species